UCCGCAAUGAAGAUUUCCAGCAUUCCGGAUGCCAUGUAACCUAUAGGAUCGUCGCCCAUGUCCUUCACCCGAACUUCAAGUUUAAAGUGGCUCUCCUCAACAUGAGAUAGGCACUGCUUAGGAGAAGACUUCGAGGGCUGGUCCAGUCAUGUGUAAAUGUUGCAUUGCGGCAGGAUUCAUUGUAGAAACUAUUCCAUGUCACUGUAUCCCAUUCUCGGCUUUACCUUCUUCUGUUAAGGACAAUGCUCCGGACCUG